rnacentral:rRNA from 1 species
GGAUUGCAGGCUGCAACUCGCCUGCAUGAAGCUGGAAUUGCUAGUAAUCGCGGAUCAGCAAGCCGCGGUGAAUACGUUCCCGGGCCCUUGUACACACCGCCCGUCACACCAUGAGAGUCGGGAACACCCGAAGCCUGUGAGCUAACUUAUAGAGGCAGCAGUCGAAGGUAGAAUCAAUGAUUGGGGUGAAGUCGUAACAAGGUAGC